rnacentral:lncRNA from 1 species
CAGAGAUGCGGGGAUGCAGAGAAUCUUGCUGACACCUGGGAGUAAAUUUAUGCUGUGGCUUCAACAGUAUCCUGUGAGAAUUAAUUCCCCAGCCAUGUGUGAAAAGGAAAAAAGGAGAUCUGCUGCUGAUGUGAGGGGUUGUCUCAUCACACUUUGCUGCCACCCUGGACACUGACAUCUUCUCUGGAAGCACUCUGACCACUGGCCUUUACCAUAUACCUUGCAAG